AAUUGCAUAAAUAAUUUGUUUUGUUUUGAUUAAUGGGUUGGAUGCAAAUGGUAUGUAUUGACCAACAGCCCCAGCUGAGGUCCAGUUGACAGUCAGCAUCAACUACCAGACAUGGGAAUGAGCAACCUUCAGAUGAUUUCAGCCUCCAGUUGUUGAGUCGCCUCAACCUUGAAUAUUCCCAGUAGAGACCCAGGCACUAUGCAGCAAAAUCAAGGCAUCUUUUUCUGCAUCCAUUCUGAAUUCCUGACCCAUAGAAUCUGAUAGCACAUAAACUGGUUUCUAUUUUAUGCCCCUAACUUGGGGCAUGGUUGGGUUUUGUGGUUUGGGGUUGGGGUUGGUUUUUGCUUUGUUUUGUUUCGUUUGAGAUAGGGUAUUGCUCUGUCAACCAGGCUGGAGUGCAGCGGCGUGAUCAUAGCUCACUGCAGCCUCAAACUCCUGGCGCAAGCAAUCCUCCCACCUCAGCCUCCUGAGUAGCUGAGACCACAGGUGCACACCACCAUGCCUGCCCCCAAAAAUGUUCUCAUAUCAUUGCCCUUCCCUGUAUCCCCACCUUUGGCUGUGUAACUUUGCAAUACUCUUAUUAUGAGCAAAACAUAUGGUCUCACCUCUUGACUUUGGAUUUCGUUAUACGACUUGCUUUGGACAAUAAUUUUAAAAACCACAAAACUGACAGUGUGUCAUUUUUGAGCCUAGGUAUAUUAGUCAGAGAAAUAGAACCAGUAGUAUAGUAAAGAUACACGAGACAGAGACAGGGAGAGAGCCAGAGGGAAAGAUAGAUUUAUCAGGAGGUAUUGGCUCACGUGAUUAUGGAGGCUGAGAAGUCAUACAAUCUGCCAUCUCCAAGCUGGAGAUCCAGAAAAGUCAGUGGUGUCAUUCAGUUUGACUCCCAAAGGCCUGAGAACCAGUGUAGCCAAUGAUAUAAAUCCUCGUCUAGGGACCAGAGAAGAUAAGAUGAUAUGUCCCAGCUCAAGCAAUAAAGCAGUAAAAGAGGCAAAAUUCUCCUUCCUCCAUCUUUUGUUCUACUCAGGCCCUCAACAGAUUGGAUGAUAUCCACCCAACUGGGGAUGAUGGCAGCCUGCUUUACUGAGUACAGUGAUUCAAACGCUAAUGAUACAGGAGCUAAAAAGAAAUUAUUUAGGCAGACAGUGAGGGUAAGAGAGUCCUCAGCAGAAUUACCCUUUUAACAAAAAGCAGCCCCCAAAUAAUUUCUUUUCUAACAAAGAGCAGCCUGAAACUUUGAGCUGCAAACAUAGAUAAGCAAGCUGGAAGCUUGCACAGGUGAAUGCCAGCAGCUGUGCCAAUAGAAAAGGGCUACCUGGCAUGUUCAACAUGGAGGCUCCAUCUUCCCUUUUCUUUGUCACCACAUGUGCAGUAGAAAAGCAGGCAACAUGGUGCUGGCCAGGUAGAGAACCCAUCUGCAUAAUAAAACAUUAGGGUGGUGAGGCCAGCUUCUUUGUGCACUAUGCAAACGGCACCCGUAGUCCAAUCCGGGUCUUCACAUGCUAUGCAAAUGGCAUACCUGGUCUGACCAAUCCUUCAUGCCCUAUGUAAAUCAGACAUCACUUCCUCAAGCUCAUCUAUUAAACAUCCUGUACUUUGCCACAAACAGGAAGCCCUGCUUAGGAGCCCCUCUCUCUCUGCAGGAGAGAGAUUUUUCUCUUUCUUUCGCCUAUUAAACCUCUACUCUUAACCUCACUCCUUGUGUGUCCACAUCCUUGAUUUCCUUGGUGUGAAGCAGUGAACCUUGGGUAUUACCCCAGGCGAAUAAUGCCACUUCACUAAUACUCUCAAUCAGGCCAGGCAUAGUGGCCCAUGCCUGUAAU
rnacentral:lncRNA from 10 species